rnacentral:rRNA from 1 species
UACGAAGGGGGCUAGCGUUGUUCGGAAUUACUGGGCGUAAAGCGUACGUAGGCGGGUUGUUAAGUCAGGGGUGAAAUCCUGGAGCUCAACUCCAGAACUGCCUUUGAUACUGGCAACCUAGAGACUGGAAGAGGUUAGUGGAAUUCCCAGUGUAGAGGUGAAAUUCGUAGAUAUUGGGAAGAACACCAGUGGCGAAGGCGGCUAACUGGUCCAGCACUGACGCUGAGGUGCGAAAGCGUGGGGAGCAAACAGG